GGGGUUGUGGCUCAGUGGUGGAGCACUUGCUUAGCACGUAUGAGGCACUGAGUUCAAUUCUUAGCACCA
rnacentral:tRNA from 1 species